rnacentral:rRNA from 1 species
AUUGAACGCUGGCGGCAUGCUUUACACAUGCAAGUCGAACGGCAGCGCGGGCUUCGGCCUGGCGGCGAGUGGCGAACGGGUGAGUAAUACAUCGGAACGUGCCCAGUAGUGGGGGCUAGCUCGGCGAAAGCCGGAUUAAUACCGCAUACGACCUGAGGGUGAAAGCGGGGGAUCUUCGGACCUCGCGCUAUUGGAGCGGCCGAUGGCAGAUUAGCUAGUUGGUGGGGUAAAGGCCUACCAAGGCGACGAUCUGUAGCUGGUCUGAGAGGACGACCAGCCACACUGGGACUGAGACACGGCCCAGACUCCUACGGGAGGCAGCAGUGGGGAAUUUUGGACAAUGGGCGAAAGCCUGAUCCAGCAAUGCCGCGUGUGUGAUGAAGGCCUUCGGGUUGUAAAGCACUUUUGGCGGGAACGAAAAGGACUGUGCCAAUACCACGGUUCGAUGACGGUACCCGCAGAAUAAGCACCGGCUAACUACGUG